GUGAUUCGGGGGGGAGGGAAUAAGAUCACUGAGCGAGAUCGUUCACUCUCGCCAACAUCACGCGCCGCGACGUACUCCCACUCGGCACGGAGGUCGGCGACGUACUGAUGCGGGAGCGGCGUCGAGAGUGCCAGUUGGUGCCACUCGGGAAGAGGAGGAGCGGCCGCGGAAACUCUCAUCUGCGGUCACUGGGCCCUGCAUUUCCCUGACUCUCUGGUCCUUGUUUUCCCCGUAUUUUGUAAAGUUGAAGUUGCUCAAGACUUUCCGUCGAGUAGCUAGGGUUGAGAUUGGUUGACAACGCAUUCUUCUAUUUCUGAGCCACGUUGCACCUGUUUCUAGGAAGAAUUUCUCUCCAAGUCCAUUAUCUAAUUUUAUUUACUGUAAACAGCUGUAUAGUGUCAGUAAAAUGUUGAAUUAUAACUUCA